UACAGAGGCCUCGAGCGUUAGGCGGAAUCACUGGGCUUAAAGCGUGUGUAGGCGGAGUUCUAAGUACCUUGUGAAAUCCCCCCGGCUCAACUGGGGAACUGCACAGGAAACUAGCGGGCUUGAGUUCGGGAGAGGGAAGCGGAAUUCCGGGUGUAGCGGUGAAAUGCGUAGAUAUCCGGAGGAACACCGGGUGGCGAAGGCGGCUUCCUGGACCGACACUGACGCUGAGGCGCGAAAGCUAGGGGAGCAAACGGG
rnacentral:rRNA from 1 species